ensembl:snoRNA SNORA70 Small nucleolar RNA SNORA70
CUGCAGCCAAUAAAGCUGACUAUACUACAGUAGCCUCCUUGGUAGUGUAUGCAGCUUGUUGAUUGUAUGGGUUGCCUUAAGGGACCUUAGAGACAGCC